rnacentral:tRNA from 1 species
GCGUUCGUAGCUUAAAAGGAUAAAGCAUUAGUUUCCGAAACUAAAAAUCAGAGGUUCAAAUCCUCUCGAACGCA